GAGUUUGAUCCUGGCUCAGGAUGAACGCUAGCGACAGGCUUAACACAUGCAAGUCGAGGGGCAGCGGGGGCGAAGCUUGCUUCGCCUGCCGGCGACCGGCGCACGGGUGAGUAACACGUAUGCGACCUGCCCCCCGCAGGGGGAUAACCGGGAGAAAUCCCGACUAAUACCGCGUAACGCCGCGGGGCUGCAUGGCUCCGCGGCCAAAGGAAGCGAUUCCGGCGGGGGAUGGACAUGCGGCGCAUUAGCUAGUCGGCGGGGUAACGGCCCACCGAGGCGACGAUGCGUAGGGGUUCUGAGAGGAAGGUCCCCCACACUGGUACUGAGACACGGACCAGACUCCUACGGGAGGCAGCAGUGAGGAAUAUUGGUCAAUGGGCGGGAGCCUGAACCAGCCAAGUCGCGUGAGGGAAGACGGUCCUAUGGAUUGUAAACCUCUUUUGCCGGGGAGCAACGGGGUCCUUGCGAGGGCCUAAUGAGAGUACCCGGAGAAAAAGCAUCGGCUAACUCCGUGCCAGCAGCCGCGGUAAUACGGAGGAUGCGAGCGUUAUCCGGAUUUAUUGGGUUUAAAGGGUGCGUAGGCGGGCUGUUAAGUCAGCGGUCAAAUGUCGGGGCUCAACCCCGGCCUGCCGUUGAAACUGGUGGCCUCGAGUGGGCGAGAAGUAUGCGGAAUGCGUGGUGUAGCGGUGAAAUGCAUAGAUAUCACGCAGAACUCCGAUUGCGAAGGCAGCAUACCGGCGCCCGACUGACGCUGAGGCACGAAAGCGUGGGUAUCGAACAGGAUUAGAUACCCUGGUAGUCCACGCAGUAAACGAUGAAUGCUAGCUGUCCGGGGCUUCGGCUCUGGGUGGCACAGCGAAAGCGUUAAGCAUUCCACCUGGGGAGUACGCCGGCAACGGUGAAACUCAAAGGAAUUGACGG
rnacentral:rRNA from 1 species